rnacentral:rRNA from 1 species
GCUUACGGCCAUACCACCCUGAACACGCCCGAUCUCGUCUGAUCUCGGAAGCUAAGCAGGGUCGCGCCUGGUUAGUACUUGGAUGGGAGACCGCCUGGGAAUACCAGGUGCUGUAAGCU